rnacentral:rRNA from 1 species
AGACCCACGCCCACAGUUGCCAGCGUACUCUCUGGAGUGACGGGUACACUGUGGGGACCGGCCGCUGCUAAAGCGGAGGAAGGAAUGGGCAACGGUAGGUCAGUAUGCCCCGAAUAUCCCGGGCUACACGCGAGCUACAAUGGUUGGUACAAUGGGUAUCUACCCCGAAAGGGGACGGGAAUCUCCUAAAACCAAUCUUAGUUCGGAUUGAGGGCUGCAACUCGCCCUCAUGAAGCUGGAAUCCGUAGUAAUCGCGUUUCAACAGAACGCGGUGAAUACGUCCCUGCUCCUU